rnacentral:rRNA from 1 species
CCUACGGGAGGCUGCAGUGAGGAAUAUUGGUCAAUGGACGAGAGUCUGAACCAGCCAAGUAGCGUGAAGGAUGACUGCCCUAUGGGUUGUAAACUUCUUUUAUAUGGGAAUAAAAUGUUCCACGCGUGGGAGUUUGUAUGUACCAUAUGAAUAAGGAUCGGCUAACUCCGUGCCAGCAGCCGCGGUAAUACGGAGGAUACGAGCGUUAUCCGGAUUUAUUGGGUUUAAAGGGUGCGUAGGUGGUUUGUUAAGUCAGUGGUGAAAGUUUGCGGCUCAACGGUAAAAUUGCAGUUGAAACUGGCAGUCUAGAGAGCAGUAGAGGUAGGCGGAA